CCUACGGGUGGCUGCAGUGGGGAAUAUUGGACAAUGGGGGCAACCCUGAUCCAGCCAUGCCGCGUGUGUGAAGAAGGCCCUCGGGUUGUAAAGCACUUUCAGUGAGGAAGAACGCCUGGUGGUUAAUACCCAUCAGGAAAGACAUCACUCACAGAAGAAGCACCGGCUAACUCCGUGCCAGCAGCCGCGGUAAUACGGAGGGUGCGAGCGUGAAUCGGAAUUACUGGGCGUAAAGCGCGCGUAGGUGGCUUGAUAAGCCGGUUGUGAAAGCCCCGGGCUCAACCUGGGAACGGCAUCCGGAACUGUCAAGCUAGAGUGCAGGAGAGGAAGGUAGAAUUCCCGGUAUAGCGGUGAAAUGCGUAGAGAUCGGGAGGAAUACCAGUGGCGAAGGCGGCCUUCUGGACUGACACUGACACUGAGGUGCGAAAGCGUGGGUAGCAAACAGGAUUAGAUACCCUAGAAGUC
rnacentral:rRNA from 1 species